AGUGAACGCUGGCGGUAGGCCUAACACAUGCAAGUCGAACGGCAGCACAGUAAGAGCUUGCUCUUACGGGUGGCGAGUGGCGGACGGGUGAGGAAUACAUCGGAAUCUACUUUUUCGUGGGGGAUAACGUAGGUAAACUUACGCUAAUACCGCAUACUACCUACGGGUGAAAGCAGGGGAUCUUCGGACCUUGCGCGAUUGAAUUAGCCGAUGUCGGAUUAGAUAGUUGGCGGGGUAAAGGCCCACCAAGGCGACGAUCCGUAGCUGGUCUGAGAGGAUGAUCAGCCACACUGGAACUGAGACACGGACCAGACUACUACGGGAGGCAGCAGUGGGGAAUAUUGGACAAUGGGCGCAAGCCUGAUCCAGCCAUACCGCGUGGGUGAAGAAGGCCUUCGGGUUGUAAAGCCCUUUUGUCGGGAAAGAAAAGCAGCAGGUUAAUACCCCGCUGUUAUGACGGUACCCAAAGAAUAAGCACCGGCUAACUUCGUG
rnacentral:rRNA from 1 species